rnacentral:rRNA from 1 species
AUUGAACGCUGGCGGCAGGCCUAACACAUGCAAGUCGAGCGAGCGGCGGACGGGUGAGUAAUAUCUGGGAAACUGCCUGAUGGAGGGGGAUAACUACUGGAAACGGUAGCUAAUACCGCAUACCAUCUGAUAUGGCCAGAUGGGGUUAGCUCGUAGGUGGGGUAACGGCUCACCUAGGCGACGAUCCCUAGCUGGUCUGAGAGGAUGACCAGCCACACUGGAACUGAGACACGGUCCAGACUCCUACGGGAGGCAGCAGUGGGGAAUAUUGCACAAUGGGCGCAAGCCUGAUGCAGCCAUGCCGCGUGUGUGAAGAAGGCCUUCGGGUUGUAAAGCACUUUCAGCGGGGAGGCGUUACCCGCAGAAGAAGCACCGGCUAACUCCGUGCCAGCCGCCGCGGUAAUAC